GUAGGGACCAAGCGUUGUUCGGAUUUACUGGGCGUAAAGGGCGCGUAGGCGGCGCGGUAAGUCACUUGUGAAAUCUCUGAGCUUAACUCAGAACGGCCAAGUGAUACUGCGGUGCUAGAGUGCAGAAGGGGCAAUCGGAAUUCUUGGUGUAGCGGUGAAAUGCGUAGAUAUCAAGAGGAACACCUGAGGUGAAGACGGGUUGCUGGGCUGACACUGACGCUGAUGCGCGAAAGCCAGGGGAGCAAACGGGAUUAGAUACCCCGGUAGUCCUGGCCCUAAACGAUGAAUACUUGGUGUCUGGAGUUUUAAUGCUCCGGGUGCCGUCGCUAACGUUUUUAGUAUUCCGCCUGGGGAGUACGCUCGCAAGAGUGAA
rnacentral:rRNA from 1 species